rnacentral:tRNA from 1 species
GGGCCGGUAGUUCAGCCCGGUUAGAAAAUGUCCCCGGUAAGAACGUCCGCCUUACACGCGGAAGGUCGGGAGUUCGAAUCUCCCCCGGCCCACCA